CCUACGGGUGGCACCAGUGGGGAAUAUUGGGCAAUGGGCGCAAGCCUGACCCAGCGACGCCGCGUGAGGGAAGAAGGCCUUUGGGUCGUAAACCUCUGUUGUAUGGGAAGAAGGAAGUGACGGUACCAUACGAGGAAGUCCCGGCUAACUACGUGCCAGCAGCCGCGGUAAUACGUAGGGGACGAGCGUUGUCCGGAAUUACUGGGCGUAAAGGGCGCGCAGGCGGAUAUUUAAGUCAGCUGUAAAAGGCAUGAGCUCAACUCAUGUAUGCGGUUGAAACUGGGUAUCUAGAGUGCUGGAGAGGUAGGCGGAAUUCCCGGUGUAGCGGUGAAAUGCGUAGAUAUCGGGAAGAACACCAGUGGCGAAGGCGGCUUACUGGCCAGCAACUGACGCUGAGGCGCGAAAGCCAGGGGAGCGAACGGGAUUAGAUACCCUCGUAGUC
rnacentral:rRNA from 1 species